AGGAUUAACGCUGGCGGCGUGCCUGACACAUGCAAGUCGAACGAAAUAUCUUCGGAUAUUUAGUGGCGAACGGGUGAGUAAUGUACAGGUAAUGUACCUUCGUACUGCGAAUAACAAGCUGAAAAGUUUGCUAAUACGGAAUAGUUUCAUUAGGGGGCAUCCUUUGAUGAAUAAAGAUUUAUCGUGCGGAGAUCAGCCUGUAUCCUAUUAGUUAGUUGGUGGGGUAAUGGCCUACCAAGACGACGAUGGGUAACUGGUCUGAGAGGAUGAGCAGUCACAUUGGAACUGAGAUACGGUCCAAACUCCUACGGGAGGCAGCAGUGAGGAAUUUUGCGCAAUGGGGGAAACCCUGACGCAGCAACGCCGCGUGAGUGAAGACGGCCUUCGGGUUGUAAAGCUCUGUCGUGUGUGACGAGUAGGGACGGUAACACACAAGGAAGCCUCGGCUAACUACGUGCCAGCCGCGGC
rnacentral:rRNA from 1 species